UCCUCCUGCCUCUGCCUCCCAAAGCACUGGGAUUACAGGUGUGAGCCACUGUGCCUGGCCGCUAUAUCAUUUUUUCCUGUUUGGUUAAUUGAUAGUCCCAACACCACUUGCUAAAGAUCUCUUCCUUUCCCCACUCAGGUGCCUCACUGAGGAACCCACUCAUGGUUCCUCUGGCUCCUACCAUAUUCCCAUGUAUGCACAGGUCUGUUUUUUGGUCCCCUGCUCACUUUUAUUGUCUAAUUGACUUCUAUUUCUAUCCAGCUAUUCCAUUUAUCACAUUUAGUUACUGUAUCUUUAUAUUAAGUCUUGAUACUGAUUGAACACAGGACUUCCAUUGUAGUCCUGUGUUUUCCCUGGCAGUUUCUCCAAAUUGUCUUAGACAUCCUUGGUGCUUUACCCUGUGGUUUUUAGACAAGUUUGUCUAGGUCUUUUAGAAAACAGUUAGCUUCCCUAAGCCUCCAUUUCCUUUACCAUGACCUAUGCCUCACAGGACUGCAAAGAUUAAGUGUAAAACAGUGAACACCACCUGGCCAAGAACACAAGAAACACUGAGUAGAUAGUAUCAUCUUCCCCAAAUGCCCAACCUGAUGCAGUCACUGUUCUGUUAAAAACAUUGUUGGCUUCCCAGGCAUGCAGAGUAAAGUUCAAACACAGCCUGCUAAGCCACCUGACCCCAGCUAACCUUUCCCAUGGCACCACCUGCCUCUCCCUCCUCCCUGCCCACUAUCCCUAUCAUGUUCCCUGAACACAGUGCUCUGCCCUCGAACAUGCUGUCCCUUCACGCUGGGAUCCCACGCAUCCCUCAUGGAUCCUCUCAGACAAUGCCUCCUUUGAGGAGUUAGGCACUCCCUCGGGCUUCUUGUAUUGCAUGUAUCGCUUUGCAUUGUGAUUACUUGCGUCUGUUGUGACUUUGUGUCUUAUCUAGUGAACUCAGCACAGGCCUUGGCAUUUCCAAAGAGGUGCCAUCAUUUGAUAAUCACACCCUGACUUUGGUGUCACACACACUCCUUCACUUAUUUAACACAAUAAUCCUGCGAAGUAGACUUCUCCCCCACUGAACAGGAGGGAGCAGGGAUGGUAAUUUGUUCAAGAUCAAAGAGCUUGUCAACAGAGGAGCAGAGACCUGCAUCCUGGGCUAAUUCCCAACAUUUGUAUCUUCUAUUACAGCAGGCAGCCUUCGGAUGACUGUCCUUCUUCCCUUUUCUCAAUUUCUUAUCUCCAUCUCAUCCUUCCAUGGUCCUCCCACCUGAGCUCUCUCUGAUAUUGGUCCUUUCUACUUCACCCCCCACCCGAGACUUACUUUUCCCAGGUUGUCACCUCUCCCAUUUCAUGCCAUCUGUCACCCAAGCAGGUGCCUCUGUGAGGACUGUGUGUCCUAGGUUUAGCACAUUGCUGGUAUUCAGAACAUAGAACAUGGAACCUCAUGGCUACAUCCUCAGAUGUUGAGAUGUUAGCUUGGUGUCACAAGAUCAAGGAUAUAAAAUAAAUCCUUCACAGCCUCAAUCUGUUGGAAACCAGAAAGCAAGCAAAGCCAUGGCUUGUAACACCAGGCUUUCUUGGAACAGUUAUCAGGUGUCCAGAGAUGGAAGCCACCCUGACUGGGGAUGAGCAGUUAUUCUACCAACUCAAACUGGCCUAGACGGUCAGUGCUACCACCCGGCAUGUCAACAAAGGAUGGAGGAAGUGCAGUGCUGGUCCUCACAAUGACAGGAGCUGCAAUGGUGUCCUCAGGGCUGAUUUUCUCUCUCCACCCAUGUCCGAAGUUUUGGGGCGUCUCUUUAGAGUUCUUUCUCUCUAGCCACAAGUCCUGCAGGCCAUUGGAAGACUAGGCUGCAGAAAGGGAACUCCUUGAGUCUGCAGAGCCUCAUGCAUGGUAUCACAACGGCUUCCAGACUGUUCCACUCCAAACUCUCCUGCUGGCUCCUCCUCAGACAUGGUUGAUACCACAUGACUGCCCUGUUCAGGAACACGCCCAUGCAUAAAACAAAACUCUCUGGACUGGCUUUUGUGGUUUUCCAUAAUUUGAUCUCAUCAGACUUUAUUUUCCAUUACAGCUCAAACUGUUCCUUCCAUUUUGGGACCAGGGGACAGAGUUCACUUAAUGCUGCUCUCCCACUAAAGACACUCACCCAUUCUCUGCCUGCAAGCCCUACCACUACACAACUUCAAAAAUGGCUCCACCCUUCCUGAUUCCACCCCACACAGAGGAAAGCAACUUCUUGCGACGCUUCCUUAUUCUGGAAAUGGCUUACCUCUUUCCCCUUCCAGCUCCUUUGUGCCCCCUAGAAAGCCUCCCUGGCUAAGGGGGACAGGCCCUCUCCUCAGCACUGGGCACUGACCGUCUAACCAGGGCUCUCUGGGCACCUGGUUGCAAGGAUGGCAAGAUACAACAACAUGCUGAUUUUAAUAGCCUCUGGCUUCUCCACUGCAUUUCUCACCUGAAUGCCCUGCACACCAAAUCUUCCAUGGGAUCACCCUUGACCUCUAGGGCAAUUCCCAUGAAUCCAGCAGAGGAGUGGGGGAGACCAAAAGACUGACAUGAAGGACUCAAGGGAAACCUCUGGAAAGAAGACACCAGACACUAAAAGGGAUAUGUGUGAAAUACUGGUUUUUAUUGGUUGGCACAAGAUUACAACCUACAGUUUCAAUGCCCUUCCCUCCCACACAGCUCAAAUGGAAGGAAACUGAUUAACACAUAGAAAGGAAUGGCAGGCUCACAGGUUUAAGCAUUUGUUUUUACAAAAAGGAGUGGAAUAUGGGGGUGGUCAAGUUUUACGGGUAGUAACAACAUUCUCUCCAGGUGGCAGGGGGUAAGUCUGCCUGUCCUCCAUUGCUGAUACCACAUAAGGGACAUAUUAGUAAAGUAGGGAAAGGGUUAUAUGUGUGGCUGGCCUGUUCUUAAGAGAGGAAGGUGGGAUAGUAUCUGCUGUGUGCCUGUCUCAGACCAAACCUGGGGCUGAACCAGUGCCCCUUUCUUCUGAGCCCUCCUCCACAACCUGACAGUACUGCCAGCCGCACCCAUGGGAAGGAGGUGUGAAGGAAGCCUGAGAACAUCCGCCUCGAGAAAAGGAAACAGGAAAACUAUUUCCUUCCGCCUUCUCUGGACCAAAUUCCACUCCCCUCAGCUCCAGAGAGCGCUGCAAAAAUCUUCCUUAGGAACGCUGUGAAGACACGGGGAAAAGGCCAGCCCAGACAGGUAGUCCUGAGCGGGCAAGAAGAAAAGCUUGAACUUUCCAUGCAGUACCAAGCAAGAUUGUUUUGGAAACACGCAAACAAAAAAUGGAAACCAACACCAUAUACCCACAGGUUGGGUAGCUCCCAAAUCCCAGACAGCAUUUGGAUUGGAGGUAAGGACAAUUUUACUCCAGCUCCUUGUUUUAUAACCCACACCAGGUGCCAAGAGGUUUAAGGACCAAAACUGACCUCUCUUUCCCUACAAGCACCAUUCCUUGGAUUCCCAGUUUUGUUGAGCUCAUUUGGGGUCAUCCUUGCCAUCCUCUUCAAAAAUGAUGCAGCCUCUUGGUGGUUCCAUUUGCUAUCCCUUUCUACAAUUAUGAACACACUGUCUAAACAGGAGAUCUAUAUAUGCUGUCACCCUGCAGCCCAAGAGAUUAGGUGAUCUAACGAUAAGAAGGCCAGCUUACUUGCUUUCCCGGGUGGUCCUGAUGGAAAUGAACAGCAGCAGAGUUCUGGUGGGACAGAGCAGUCUAGUCGGAGCCACUGUGUGAUUCCCCAGGGGACUGGUCCCUGGGUACAUGGGUCCCUGGCUCUGUCUCAGUUCCAGAGACAUUACUCAACUUGGCCUUUUAAGCCUCAGCUAAAACAUAUGAGCAUGAGGGAAAAGGGACAAGAAAUACUUUUGUCCUCUGGAAAAACGUAAACGCAAUACAUUUUGGCUACUUAGGCUCAAGCCACACGGUUCCCUGGAAACACUUGUUGAACCUGGCCAAGAGGAGACUGUAUAUGGAUGGCACACCUGGAAAAGGGGAGAAAGCACACUAGUUCAUCUCUUUUAUAAGUGGAAUGGUCCCAGGGAUGUUAACCUUUCUGAUGCUGAUGGUAGAUGAGUGGAGUGGAGGUAAUCCUGUGAGAAAACUCCUUAAAAACCCUUAAGCUGUGUGGAGACUACACAUCACAGCUGAGCAAACCAAGGUGGGGCCUCACUGCCUCCUCAGAGCCCAUCCCUGACCAUGUCAUUGGAUAGGAUGGAAGACAAAGUCUUUGAAAUGGAGGCUGGGCUGGCAAAAGUAAGUAUGAAGAUGCUACUACUGUCCUUCCACUUCCUCUCUCUGAUACACCUAAGAAGGCGAGAGACACUUACUUCAAUUCCAUUUUACAAUAGUUCUUAACAUCCUGAAAUACUCUUGACUUCCUUAAUUCAGCACAGGGAAAACUGGUAAGCUAUCUUUCUAACUGAAAUUUGACUUAUUCUAACCACCAACCUUUUCUUUGAUUAUCAACCAGUUUGAUAGUCUUCAGAUCAUAAAACAAUAGAACAGACCUGACAUUUACAAAACUGUACUACUUACUUCUUUUACAGUAGAGUUGACCAAUCACUUUUCUAACUACUAAUGCAACACCAUGCCACUGGGCCCUGGACUCUGAUGUUUCUGAUCCCUGAGCAACACAUCUAUGUCCAUUCACAGAUGGAAGUGAAAGGGUGAGAUUCUCAGAGUCUAAACAAAAUUCUGGUAGCAAAUUGGAUUUCUGAAGGGAGA